rnacentral:rRNA from 1 species
AACCUGGUUGAUCCUGCCAGUAGUCAUAUCGCUCGUCUCAAAGAUUAAGCCAUGCAUGUCUACAGUAUAAAUCACUCUAUACUGCGAAACUGCGAACUGGCUCAUUAUAUCAGUUAUAGUUUAUUUGAUAGUCCCUUACUACAUGGAUAACCGUGAGUAAUUCUAGAGCUAAUACAUGCAUCCAUACCCAACUGU